rnacentral:pre_miRNA from 1 species
AUUCUACUCCCUCCGUUGCACAAUACAUGCCUUCUAUUUGUCAAAAUAUAUGUGUAUCUAGACAUGUUUUAGUAUAUAGGUACAUCCAUUUUUGGACAAAUGGAAGUCAAGUAUUUUGGAACGAAGGGAGUACACA